GAUGAACGCUGGCGGCGUGCCUAAUACAUGCAAGUCGAGCGAACGGACGAGAAGCUUGCUUCUCUGAUGUUAUCGGCGGACGGGUGAGUAACACGUGGAUAACCUACCUAUAAGACUGGGAUAACUUCGGGAAACCGGAGCUAAUACCGGAUAAUAUUUUGAACCGCAUGGUUCAAAGGUGAAAGACGGUCUUGCUGUCACUUAUAGAUGGAUCCGCGCUGCAUUAGCUAGUUGGUAAGGUAACGGCUUACCAAGGCAACGAUGCAUAGCCGACCUGAGAGGGUGAUCGGUCACACUGGAACUGAGACACGGUCCAGACUCCUACGGGAGGCAGCAGUAGGGAAUCUUCCGCAAUGGGCGAAAGCCAGACGGAGCAACGCCGCGUGAGUGAUGAAGGUCUUCGGAUCGUAAAACUCUGUUAUUAGGGAAGAACAUAUGUGUAAGUAACUGUGCACAUCUUGACGGUACCUAAUCAGAAAGCCACGGCUAACUACGUG
rnacentral:rRNA from 1 species